rnacentral:rRNA from 1 species
GAUGAACGCUAGCGGCAGGCUUAACACAUGCAAGUCGAACGGCAGCACAGGUAGCAAUACUGGGUGGCGAGUGGCGCACGGGUGCGUAACGCGUAUGCAACUUACCCAUAACUGGGGAAUAGCCUUCCGAAAGGGAGAAUAAUACCCCAUAACAUUUCGAUGUGGCAUCACAUUGUUCUUAAAGCUUCGGCGGUUAUGGAUGGGCAUGCGUUCUAUUAGUUUGUUGGUGAGGUAACGGCUCACCAAGACUACGAUAGAUAGGGGGCCUGAGAGGGUUAUCCCCCACACUGGUACUGAGACACGGACCAGACUCCUACGGGAGGCAGCAGUGAGGAAUAUUGGUCAAUGGACGAAAGUCUGAACCAGCCAUGCCGCGUGCAGGAUGAAUGCCCUAUGGGUUGUAAACUGCUUUUAUGUAGGAUAAACCCCCUCUCGUGAGAGGGGCUGAAGGUACUACAAGAAUAAGGACCGGCUAACUCCGUGCCAGCAGCCGCGGUAAAG